rnacentral:rRNA from 1 species
UACGUAGGGGGCAAGCGUUGUCCGGAAUUAUUGGGCGUAAAGAGCGCGUAGGCGGUCCGAUAAGUCGGCUGUGAAAGUCAGGGGCUCAACCCUUGAAAGCCGGCCGAUACUGUCGGACUAGAGUCCGGAAGAGGCGAGUGGAAUUCCUGGUGUAGCGGUGAAAUGCGCAGAUAUCAGGAGGAACACCGAUUGCGAAGGCAGCUCGCUGGAACGUUACUGACGCUGAGACGCGAAAGCGUGGGGAGCAAACAGG